UGGCCGUAAACGAUGUGGACUUGGUGUUGGAAUGGCUCCGAGCUGCUCCAGUGCCGAAGGGAAGCUGUUAAGUCUGCUACUUGGGGAGUACGUCCGCAAGGAUGAAACUUAAAGGAAUUGGCGGGGGAGCACCGCAACGGGAGGAGCGUGCGGUUUAAUUGGAUUCAACACCGUAAACUCACCAGGGAAGACUGUUACAUGAAGGCCGAGAUGAAGACUCUGCUAGAUUUUCAGAGAGGAGGUGCAUGGCGUCAGUGACU
rnacentral:rRNA from 1 species